rnacentral:tRNA from 1 species
UUAAUUGAAACCAAAAUAGAGGUAAAUCACUGUUAAUGAUUUUAAUGAGUCUAACUCCAAUUAAA